rnacentral:rRNA from 1 species
UACGGAGGGUGCAAGCGUUGUCCGGAAUCACUGGGCGUAAAGGGCGCGUAGGCGGCUCAUGAAGGCUGUGGUGAAAGUCCGGGGCUCAACCUCGGAUCGGCCGUGGCGACUCGUGGGCUGGAGCACUGUAGAGGCGGGUGGAAUUCCGGGUGUAGCGGUGGAAUGGCGCAGAUAUCAGGAGGAACACCGAUGGCGAAGGC